UACGUAUCUCGAUUCUUUGCUGUCACCUU
rnacentral:piRNA from 1 species